rnacentral:rRNA from 1 species
UACGGAGGGUGCAAGCGUUAUCCGGAUUCACUGGGUUUAAAGGGUGCGUAGGCGGCUAUGUAAGUCAGUUGUGAAAUACCUCGGCUUAACCGAAGGAAGUGCGAUUGAUACUGCGUAGCUUGAAUCAGGUUGAGGUAGGCGGAAUGUGACAUGUAGCGGUGAAAUGCUUAGAUAUGUCAUAGAACACCGAUUGCGAAGGCAGCUUACUGGGCUUUGAUUGACGCUGAGGCACGAAAGCGUGGGGAGCAAACAGG